UUCUUUCAGUGUUCAAGCUAGAGCUGCUGCUGAGAAGAGAGUUCACGAUUUCACCGUUAAGGACAUUGAUGGGAAUGAUGUUGCUUUGAACAAAUUCAAGGGGGAAGUUAUGUUGAUCGUCAAUGUCGCUUCAAGAUGUGGUCUCACAUCAUCAAAUUACUCCGAGCUAUCACAUCUGUAUGAGAAAUACAAGAGCCAAGG